UACGGAGAUGGCAAGCGUUGUUCGGAAUUACUGGGCGUAAAGCGCGCGUAGGCGGCCGGGCAAGUUGGGGGUGAAAUCCUGCGGCUCAACCGCAGAACUGCCUCCAAAACUGUUCGGCUAGAGGGCGGCAGGGGAGAGUGGAACUCCUGGUGGAGCGGUGAAAUGCGUUGAUAUCAGGAGGAACGCCGGCGGCGAAAGCGACUCUCUGGGCCGUUCCUGACGCUGAGUGUGCGAAAGCCAGGGGAGCAAACGGGAUUAGAUACCCCAGUA
rnacentral:rRNA from 1 species